rnacentral:lncRNA from 1 species
AUGUCAAGGGAAUUUUGGGCACAGAUGUGCUAUCACAGUGACUCCAGUCUCUGUAACUCUGCUUCCCGACUCAGGUGCCUCAGCCUGUUUUACCAAGAGACAGAAGAAAACAGCCUACUCCUUCGAUUCUCUGUUUCUGCUCAACGGUGUAACAGAAAAGAUCUCCAUCCUCGCACCCUUCCCGAUUUUACCAAGGCAGGCUGCAGGCCCUCCCUUGACAAAGAGACUGGGGCAUUGUCACAUCUGUAUUUGUGCCCACAGUAUUUACAUCUUGGCACAGUUUGCAAAACAGCCUGCAACAACUUAUGCAAAGCUACACCACUAUUGCAAGUUGCAGCGAACCACGCUGUGAUGUGUAAGCAUAAGGGGGCAGGGUUGCACCUGAAAUGCCAAAAAGAGCAAGUGAGGAUAACAUGGGCUAUGGAAGGAGAGCUGGUGCUAGGUAGAGUCAUCCGUGUGACACUGCCUCUGCCUCGCAGGUGUCCUCGCUUUAGAGGACACUGUUGUGCUCAGAUCCAGAGCCAGACUAAUUCCAGUGACAGGGAUGGUGGCAGCACGGAUGAGGGCUUGUCUCAGCAUCUCACCAGACAGCCGCUGAAGGCAUCACAGCAAAAGCAAACGUGCUGCGACAUACCAUCUCAAGGAAAUUAAUGAAAUGAUGGACAAGGUGCCUAUAUGAAGCUACAAGUAAGCGCGAGGCAAAGCCCAGGGAAAUAGGAAGGUGGUAGCUUGAGGGAGACAGAUGCUGAGAGCUAAUCAAAGCCCAGGGGGUACGUCUUGGUACAGCAAGAGAGGUGGUACAUCACGUACAGGGAGACUACUGAGGACACUUGAAGCCCAUGACUGACGUGUCCGACGCAGGGGAGAAGGGGGAGCAGCAGCAGGACGGGCAAAGAGGGGAGACGCAGCCCCAGCAGCGGGCUAAGAGGUGGGUUUUUGCAGCAGCGCUGUGGUCGACUGUGUCGUAACAGGAUUUCCUCCACACACGCCAGGAAAAGGAGGUAACCGCAGUCAUGAAGACACAAGGGGAGGAGUGCUUGCAAGAGAGGGCAGGAGGCAGAGGUGAAAAUGUCUUGACUUUUUUAGUAUUUAAAUUCCAAGUCGCAAACCUAUCAGAAACACCACAUUUUUCAGUAACUUCUGGAUGUACUCUAUCGUUGAGCUAAUUCCCCUUCUGCUUCUGCGUAGAUGGGGUGCCAGGAGGAAAACUGCACUGCUUCCUGCCUCUGAUGGGGAAUUUACAGAAUACCAUUUAUAAUUUGUGCUGCACCAGUAAGACCCAAUUAUGAACCAAGACACUCGGCAGACACAGGCUAUCCCAGUCAGCCUUUUACGUCUGAAAAGGUUAACAAAAUGCAAACAGCAAUAACUUCCAGAGCCAAAUAUGUUCAUAUACAUACACUCACCUACUCGGUGAUUGUACUAGAGUAGAUUUGGGUGCUGAAAUAGCUCAGGACCCCUUCCCCACCAGGUCAAGGUCUUACAGCAUUUCUCCUGUUGACAGCCACGCACACGUACUGGACAUAGCAAGUAGCAGUCUGCAGGCAGGCAAGCCUGCACGCCAGAGCAGACGAAAGCUGAGGAAACAUGAGGGAGACAGGAUUGACGUGCCUGCCUCUCCUUCCCCCACCUUGGGUGAUACGCAUGCCCCAGUCCGAGGAAGAGCUGGGGAAGGAAGGCAGCCAGUACCCAGUUACAACCAGCAGCAACCAUCCCUAAGGGGGACAAGCCCUUCUAGGCAUUACAGGAGAGAGAAGAAGGCUGGUGGUUUCAGGUUGCCCUUCGUUUCAGUCCGUUCAGGCACACAAAAGUCAGAGCGGAGUCAAAAUGAGUGUAAAAAGCAAAAUCAUAAGGAAACAGACAUCAGCCCUCCAGCUGGAUCCCUUAUAAGAAUAAACUGCCAGCACUACGUGCA